UACGUAGGUGGCAAGCGUUGUCCGGAUUUACUGGGCGUAAAGCGUAUGCAGGCGGACCUUUAAGUAGGAAGUGAAAGGUGGGGAGCUCAACUCUUACACUGCUCCCUAUACUGGAGGUCUUGAGUACCGGAGAGGACAAGGGAACAGGUCGUGUAGCGGUGAAAUGCGUUGAGAUGACUUGGAACACCAAUGGCGAAAGCACUUGUCUGGACGGAGACUGACGCUGAGAUACGAAAGCCAAGGGAGCGAACAGG
rnacentral:rRNA from 1 species